GGAGGCCACUGCUAUGGGGGUCCGACUAAGCCAUGCGAGUCAAGGGGGCGUCCCUUCUGGGACGCCACCGGCGGACGGCUCAGUAACACGUCGGUAACCUACCCUCGGGAGGGGGAUAACCCCGGGAAACUGGGGCUAAUCCCCCAUAGGCCUGGGGUACUGGAAGGUCCCCAGGCCGAAAGGGGACCGUAAGGUCCCGCCCGAGGAUGGGCCGGCGGCCGAUUAGGUAGUUGGUGGGGUAACGGCCCACCAAGCCGAAGAUCGGUACGGGCCGUGAGAGCGGGAGCCCGGAGAUGGACACUGAGACACGGGUCCAGGCCCUACGGGGCGCAGCAGGCGCGAAACCUCCGCAAUGCGGGAAACCGCGACGGGGGGACCCCCAGUGCCGUGCCUCUGGCACGGCUUUUCCGGAGUGUAAAAAGCUCCGGGAAUAAGGGCUGGGCAAGGCCGGUGGCAGCCGCCGCGGUAAUACCGGCGGCCCGAGUGGUGGCCACUAUUAUUGGGCCUAAAGCGGCCGUAGCCGGGCCCGUAAGUCCCUGGCGAAAUCCCACGGCUCAACCGUGGGGCUCGCUGGGGAUACUGCGGGCCUUGGGACCGGGAGAGGCCGGGGGUACCCCCGGGGUAGGGGUGAAAUCCUAUAAUCCCGGGGGGACCGCCAGUGGCGAAGGCGCCCGGCUGGAACGGGUCCGACGGUGAGGGCCGAAGGCCAGGGGAGCGAACCGGAUUAGAUACCCGGGUAGUCCUGGCUGUAAAGGAUGCGGGCUAGGUGUCGGGCGAGCUUCGAGCUCGCCCGGUGCCGUAGGGAAGCCGUUAAGCCCGCCGCCUGGGGAGUACGGCCGCAAGGCUGAAACUUAAAGGAAUUGGCGGGGGAGCACUACAAGGGGUGGAGCGUGCGGUUUAAUUGGAUUCAACGCCGGGAACCUCACCGGGGGCGACGGCAGGAUGAAGGCCAGGCUGAAGGUCUUGCCGGACGCGCCGAGAGGAGGUGCAUGGCCGCCGUCAGCUCGUACCGUGAGGCGUCCACUUAAGUGUGGUAACGAGCGAGACCCGCGCCCCCAGUUGCCAGUCCCUCCCGCUCGGGAGGGAGGCACUCUGGGGGGACUGCCGGCGAUAAGCCGGAGGAAGGGGCGGGCGACGGUAGGUCAGUAUGCCCCGAAACCCCCGGGCUACACGCGCGCUACAAUGGGCGGGACAAUGGGACCCGACCCCGAAAGGGGAAGGGAAUCCCCUAAACCCGCCCUCAGUUCGGAUCGCGGGCUGCAACUCGCCCGCGUGAAGCUGGAAUCCCUAGUACCCGCGCGUCAUCAUCGCGCGGCGAAUACGUCCCUGCUCCUUGCACACACCGCCCGUCACUCCACCCGAGCGGGGCCCGGGUGAGGCCCGAUCUCCUUCGGGAGGUCGGGUCGAGCCCGGGCUCCGUGAGGGGGGAG
rnacentral:rRNA from 1 species